GCAAGAGGAGGCCCGCCCCGGCGGCCGGAGGCCAAGUGGCGGCCGGCGCCCUCUGCUGGCCAGGAGGAGUUAGUUACUGCGGCCGCGCUGAGGCCUGGAAUUGGGCCGGGGCAAAGGAGCAAAGAUACGCAGGUGAUGGUAGCGAUGGACUGUAGUUAUUAGAGAGCUUGUAUGUGCUAAGCGCAUUAUUACCUGAGUUAACUUCCUCCCCCGCUCAAAACUCUCCCGGGGGCUGCCCACUGCUUUGGGGAUAAUUCCAACUUCCUCACCGUGCUCCAAAAGGUGCUCCCUCACCUACCCCAACCUGCCUCUCUCCCAUCCUGGUUUCCUCCACCACGCUGGCUUUCCGUUUGUACCCCAGACACCGCAAGCUGCCUUCUGACCCAGGACCCUUACCCUGCUGUCCGCUCUAUAUUCGGGGUUCUCGGCCUUGUCACUAUUCACAUUUUGCAUUUGAUAAUGUUUUGGUGAGGCGGCGGUCUUGUUGCAUUGGAGAAUAUUGAACAGCGUCCCAAGCCUUUUAUCCAUUAGAUGCCAGAACGCCCCUUCAACCCCACCCCCAGUUGCGGCCACCAAAAAUCCUCAGACAUCGUCAAAUGUGGAACCGUGGUCGAGAGAGAUGUAAUCAAUUGAUUUAUGCCUGUAAGGCAGGCAACCUUCCUCAGCCCAACCUACCCGUUUAAUGUUGCCACCCACCUCCCUGAAAGCAGGCUUCCAUGAAAUCGCUGUUGGGUUUUCUUCAUAGUUGUAGCUGUUUGAAGUCCUGCUUCUUAUUUAGUGUUUACUGGGUGUCGUCUGGGACCUCCCAUUGGGCUCCAAACAGCCUGGCCCCAGCCUUUUCUUCACUACUCCACCCACCCCCCCUUCCCAGAGCUGGGAGCAAAGUGCCCAAUGUUCAUGGGAUGAAUGCAUUCAGUAUCUCAUUUAAUCUUCACAGGAUCCCUUUGGGCACACAGCCCGCAGGAUGUUAGAAAUCACCCCUGCUCCUCGGUUCCUGAAGGAGUACAGGGAGACCCAGAGAACUGAAGUUCCAAAAUCACUCAGCUCCUGAAUGGGAGAGUAAGACUAGAACCCACCAGCCCCCACACCUCCCAUGCAAGUGCCUGGAUGCAUCGCACAGGGCUUCUUCCCAGGAGAGGCAGAUCCUGAGUUCUCCAUCCGCCCUCUCUGGUUCGAUCGAUACUUCGUGU